ensembl:rRNA 5S_rRNA 5S ribosomal RNA
UACUAAAAGGAGACCAUACCCAAUCUCAUCUGAUCUGAGAAGCUAAGCAGGGUUGGGCCUGGUUAGUACUCUGAUGGGAGGCCACAUGGGAAUACCAGGUGCUAGAAG